GGGCAGGCUACAGUAGAGAAUGAUCGUGGCUCAAUCUCUCGUAUCAGGUGUGGCGCUUGAGUCAUGAUUUACAUUUGAGUGAGUGGCGAACUGGUGAGUAACACGUGGGAAACCUGCCCAGAAGCGGGGGAUAACACCUGGAAACAGAUGCUAAUACCGCAUAACAACUUGGACCGCAUGGUCCGAGUUUGAAAGAUGGCUUCGGCUAUCACUUUUGGAUGGUCCCGCGGCGUAUUAGCUAGAUGGUGGGGUAACGGCUCACCAUGGCAAUGAUACGUAGCCGACCUGAGAGGGUAAUCGGCCACAUUGGGACUGAGACACGGCCCAAACUCCUACGGGAGGCAGCAGUAGGGAAUCUUCCACAAUGGACGAAAGUCUGAUGGAGCAACGCCGCGUGAGUGAAGAAGGGUUUCGGCUCGUAAAACUCUGUUGUUAAAGAAGAACAUAUCUGAGAGUAACUGUUCAGGUAUUGACGGUAUUUAACCAGAAAGCCACGGCUAACUACGUGCCAGCAGCCGCGGUAAUACGUAGGUGGCAAGCGUUGUCCGGAUUUAUUGGGCGUAAAGCGAGCGCAGGCGGUUUUUUAAGUCUGAUGUGAAAGCCUUCGGCUCAACCGAAGAAGUGCAUCGGAAACUGGGAAACUUGAGUGCAGAAGAGGACAGUGGAACUCCAUGUGUAGCGGUGAAAUGCGUAGAUAUAUGGAAGAACACCAGUGGCGAAGGCGGCUGUCUGGUCUGUAACUGACGCUGAGGCUCGAAAGUAUGGGUAGCAAACAGGAUUAGAUACCCUGGUAGUCCAUACCGUAAACGAUGAAUGCUAAGUGUUGGAGGGUUUCCGCCCUUCAGUGCUGCAGCUAACGCAUUAAGCAUUCCGCCUGGGGAGUACGGCCGCAAGGCUGAAACUCAAAGGAAUUGACGGGGGCCCGCACAAGCGGUGGAGCAUGUGGUUUAAUUCGAAGCUACGCGAAGAACCUUACCAGGUCUUGACAUACUAUGCAAAUCUAAGAGAUUAGACGUUCCCUUCGGGGACAUGGAUACAGGUGGUGCAUGGUUGUCGUCAGCUCGUGUCGUGAGAUGUUGGGUUAAGUCCCGCAACGAGCGCAACCCUUAUUAUCAGUUGCCAGCAUUAAGUUGGGCACUCUGGUGAGACUGCCGGUGACAAACCGGAGGAAGGUGGGGAUGACGUCAAAUCAUCAUGCCCCUUAUGACCUGGGCUACACACGUGCUACAAUGGAUGGUACAACGAGUUGCGAACUCGCGAGAGUAAGCUAAUCUCUUAAAGCCAUUCUCAGUUCGGAUUGUAGGCUGCAACUCGCCUACAUGAAGUCGGAAUCGCUAGUAAUCGCGGAUCAGCAUGCCGCGGUGAAUACGUUCCCGGGCCUUGUACACCCCGCCCGUCACACCAUGACAAGGUAACCAUCGAGUUUGAUCUGGGCUCCGUAAGUGGUAACAAGGUAACCAUAGAGUCAGCCC
rnacentral:rRNA from 1 species